UGGUAUAAAACAAACAAAACUACUUGUCGCAAAGAGAUUGGAACUCGCAAUAAACCACUUAGAAUUUAUAAAUGGUUGCCAUAUUUUAAUGAAUUCGAUGCAAAUGGUUACGAAACUAUAAAGGGCAUACGUUGUGUGAAGUUCACUGAAAAAACCAGGAAAAUUGAUAAAAAUACAUUAUGGGCUUACAAUAACAACUCAAGCAGAACUUGGGUGCCUGUCAGAUACAAAAAGCGGUCAAAUGACACUACACAUGGCACUCUUAAAGAUCAUGUGAUCUACGACUAUUUCAACUUUAAAACCAUCGUCAAUAGAGAAGUGUUCAACGAAUA